rnacentral:rRNA from 1 species
ACCAACCGGGAUUGCCUUAGUAACGGCGAGUGAAGCGGCAAAAGCUCAAAUUUGAAAUCUGGUACCUUCGGUGCCCGAGUUGUAAUUUGGAGAGGGCAACUUUGGGGCCGUUCCUUGUCUAUGUUCCUUGGAACAGGACGUCAUAGAGGGUGAGAAUCCCGUGUGGCGAGGAGUGCGGUUCUUUGUAAAGUGCCUUCGAAGAGUCGAGUUGUUUGGGAAUGCAGCUCUAAGUGGGUGGUAAAUUCCAUCUAAAGCUAAAUAUUGGCGAGAGACCGAUAGCGAACAAGUACAGUGAUGGAAAGAUGAAAAGAACUUUGAAAAGAGAGUGAAAAAGUACGUGAAAUUGUUGAAAGGGAAGGGCAUUUGAUCAGACAUGGUGUUUUGUGCCCUCUGCUCCUUGUGGGUAGGGGAAUCUCGCAUUUCACUGGGCCAGCAUCAGUUUUGGUGGCAGGAUAAAUCCAUAGGAAUGUAGCUUGCCUCGGUAAGUAUUAUAGCCUGUGGGAAUACUGCCAGCUGGGACUGAGGACUGCGACGUAAGUCAAGGAUGCUGGCAUAAUGGUUAUAUGCCGCCCGUCUUGAAA